UUUUAUCUUGCGAAAAUGCAGGAAUUUUCCGUGUUAUGAAAUUCGGACAUUAAACCGAAAUAAUGAGAUUUGAUUAUUGCCAAUCGAAUCAACUACACGCAGGACUCUAGAUAACAUAUUGACAUUGGUUCUGUUGAAGAGACUUUAGGUUAAUUGGGUCAAUGCUAAAGAAACAAAUUUUUUUGUGGUGUAUUGAUCUGCAUUAAAAUGCUCUGCAGGUUAGAAUGGCAACCUGGAUCACCACCAGUGAGCUUCCGAUUGGCUGUUGUGGCCUAAACUACCAGAGUUUUCCCAAUAAGGCUUCCGGGAAGUCGAGACUGUUGAUGACUUCCGUUAGUGAGUGCUAGGAUAGGGAGGGAAGGCAUCAUCCUGAGAUAACAGUUAUGGUACCCCUUCUUGUCAACGCUAAUUGCUUUCAUUAAGGCGUCUAUGUUAGAAAUUAGUCGACUUGUCGGUGAUUCUGAAUUUCAUAUUUUUCUGCAGAGAUUGAAUAUUCAAUAGAAUAAAAUAAAGAAUCGAAUUCAAAAAUAUUUUAUUAUUAUCUUUAACGACUUAUCUUUUUUUUCUUCUUGAUAAGAUUCUUUUAGGAUUUAUGGCAGCGAUAAAAAAAACACGUGCGUUAAUAUGCUAGAUGCAUGUGUAAUACAGAAAUCUCAUGGAUACGUUUCAAUUUGACAAUUAGUACAGUUUUAUUUGGAUAAUUAAAAACGAAUGCGUUAUCUCGAAUUUAAAAUAAGAAAAAAUAAGGCAAACUAUUAAAGUCUUAAGCGAUGUUGACCUACAUCUAGUAGGAGCUUCGACGUUUCUCGGCUACAACGUCUCUACAAUUUGCUUUAAUCUGUGUUACUCUGUCAACGUUUGCGAAUCAAUUUUGGUUCAGAUGUCAUUUCUAUUAGGAUUGUUUUGGAGUGUGCGAGGUUUUCUCUAUCAGAUUGCUGAAAACAUUCGAACUUUUACCAAAAUAUAUCCAACUGAUCGACUUAAAUAGUUUAAAAGGCAAAACGUGUACUCGAGCUUUUACAGUGAUUAAUAGAUUGAAGAUCUUAGCCGUUGCAAAGACACGUGUCAACUGAAUAGUUUCGUCAAGCUUUUCUCGCAAAUUUCUUCGGAGGAAAAAAAUGAUCCGAGUGGCUGCAUCAAGUAUUAAGCUGCAGAUUGAAGCUCCUGUAAAGGGUUCAUCUCCCGUAAGAAGCCGGACACGCUAUAGAAUAGUGAGUGACUUUGGGCCUUUAUUGGCCUCUGCUAAUAGAUGUGGAUGUUUGUCAGUAAAUGCGAGCGUGUUUGGAUCAUUAGUAACCCUGGCAGAACUGACAUCGUAUCAAAACAGACAAAAGUUGUCAUUAUACGAACAUUAAUGGGUGAGUCAGUACCGAAGUUUUUUUUAUCAUAUUCAAAAUUUUUUAUCGCGUAGAUUAACUUGCUUUUUUUGCUUCUCUUGCUAAUGAGUUUUUACACAUCAUUAGGCAAUUUCCUGCCUGCUUUUCUAACACUCCAGUUCAUCUCCGUGUGUCGGGACCUGCUCACGGAGUUUUUCCUCUCCUCUGUUUUCUUAUUAUUUCCUCAUUAUCAUCGGUUGAGCCCAGUUGGCUGAGUAAUUGCAGUCGAAGAAGCAAAUAGAAACUCAAUAGAUUCUUUUGUAUAUUCUCUUGUAUCCGAUGGUCUUUCGGCACGAGAAAUCAUGGUUGAGAUCCUCAGCUUAAACUACUACUUAAGAGUAAGCUUCCGUGAUCUGUAAUAACCUGGGGACUAGUUGUUUCUGAGUUUCAUUCUUUCUCUUCUUCUCCUACGAAUGAUGUUAUUUAAAAUAAUCCAAAGAAGAUUUUUCAGAAUCUUAUUUCGUUUCAAAAAUUCCUUCACAUAAAUUUUGGUCGAUAUUUUCUCAUCCAAAUUGUUGAAACGAAGUGAAGAGAAUCGACCCUUAUUGCCCGAGACUUACUAAAAUUUUCAAGUUUUUUUUUUCCUUACUGUUUGCCAGAGGUAGAAAUCCAAUUCCGAUCGGUGCGUUGCAGACAAUCAACGCCCAGAAAACCAUUAUGGAAGUUUCUCACGCAUUAUUCCAAAAGAAAACAAUCGGAAUGGCUUCCUACCAAUGUCUCUACCAUAACAAAAACCUGUCGACUAACUAAUGACAUCUUGUCACUGGAGACCAAGUCUACAACUGGCACGUCUGUUAGCUGCAUGACGGGAGUCAAUCACCAGACUAGACUAGUCGAUUUUUAGCCGAGUUGAUAGCACUAUGACCAAUUUGUCAUCAUCACCCUGGUGCUGGGUUAUUUUCUAGCUAAUGACGACUGCUCCCAUCCCAGCCAAUCAGAACACAGAUCUUUUAGCACGUCACGUUCUCCUCACCACGCACCUGAACAUUAACAUGCAAGCUGUCACUCCGCUCAAUGAUAAAGUACAUUGUUGUCUGGCACUUUAAUAGCAUCUUCGUGUGGUUCGUGCGUUUGCGAUCAAUGUGGCUGGGCAAAAGCCUCUAGGUCUGUAUGUAAUAUGUAUUCGAAUCCACUUCUGCCUUCUUACCUUUCUAAACGGAUAUAUGUAACAAACAAUCAUCAACAUGUGCACAGCGGUUGUUGAGGCUUGUCCAAUCUGACCAUCGAUUUCUAAUCAAUAGGUUGCACACACGGUCUAUCACCCGAAAACUUUCGACAAUAACUACCAUUACGGUUACGUCAUAACAUCAUUUGCCAAAUAUGGCAAUAAUUUAAUUACGCUUACAUCAAUUAUCCCUCUCGCCAACAUAAUAAAGUACUCAGGUAGAUGCGAUGAUGUCUGUUGGGUGUCCAGCUAUAUAGCCUUUUAAUUAAAUAGGUGCGCUAAUUGCCAUACCAUUUUGGACACGGUAAAAACACAAGGAGAUUGGUCCCAAAAACAUGGUUUUUUGUUCCAGACGUAGUUAAAUAUUAAUGCCAUGUAAGAUCGGUUUUAUCGCACCAGCAUCGUUUUAACUGGAAUCUAGAAUUGUAUAUAAAAUGUUCACAAAAAAGGGGGCGAUCGGUUGCUCCAUAGUACUUUGUGCUAAAUAUGGACCAGAUGGGAAUGGCAUGCGGCCAAGCACACCGCAGGGCAGUCGUCGUAACAUCAUCCAUCAUCAGAGGUCGGGACUGGAACCCGCAACCUGUGGCACCACCAGACAGACGGUCUGGACUUUGCCAUUUCUGUCACUCGAGUAUUACAAGUUUCUAGUUCGAUUUAAAGUAUAGAGGUAGCGUGCAAUCCGGCUCGGAUGGGAAUCAAAUGGAACACUGACAGGAAGGGCGAUUUGACAAAUAGUCCGUUGACAGUCGAGUCACGUGACUGACGGUGACGUUCCAGGGAAAGAUGAUGUCAACGUCCCACGUGACGAAUUUGUAUAGCGACCGAUAACGAUUAUCAACUUCUUUUCAAAUUUGUGAGUUAUUUGGAUGGAUAACAUGAUGCGUAUCUUUAAAAUUAAAUAAACGAUAGGUGGCGGUUAGGUGUUACAACUAUGGCGGAAAGCGGAGAAGGCAACGGUUUCGCGCCAAACAGUUCAAAGCGCGUGAAGGGUAUCCGGUUGAUAGACAUAACCGUAUUUUCCCAGAAGCCGACAUGCUUCCUGGCGCGGCAACUUAAGUGUCGACGACGGCAUCUAUUGAGAGGAGGAAGCCGCGAGUGAAGUUGCUGGAAUCGAUUUCAACAAACAUCUCCGAAAUCACGUGUCUCUUCAGUUACUAUAAGAAAACCAGGCCUACGGGCAACUUCAAAUUUAAUUUUAAUGGCGCUUUUUUCCUCCUCCUCCGCCUCUCUUUCCCUCUCACUCUUUUUCUGUGCAUUUUUAAAAAAAGUGAAAUAAAAUCGCACGGUGUCGUCGCUAACCGUCGCUCUCGCGUCUAUAAUCGCGCGCUCCGAACCGAAAUCACUUUUUCUCGACAAAAUUUGGUGGCGCGGGAAGUUCAUAAAAAAUUUAACACUCUGCCUCUUCCGUUUUUCUUUUUAAUAGUUCGAUUCGAAAAACUCUGAAACGAGCGAAAAAAGAAACGAACUUCGGGCCCAACCUUUACGUUCCUUAAAUUAUAGAAGAAAUGGAAAAAAAUCUAAACAAGUUUUUCGAUUGAAGAGCAGAUUGACCAUAGACAUCGCAAAUUUAAAAAAAUAAUAAUAAAAAAUUGAUGUAUC
rnacentral:lncRNA from 1 species